AGCUGUGUAAUCCUGACAACAGAUGUGGCGGCAAGAGGGCUUGAUAUUCCAAAUGUUCAACACGUCAUUCAUUACCAGGACAUCAGAGACUUAUGUCCACCGCAGUGGAAGGACUGCACGAGCCACCAGAGGGUCUCAGUUUGCUCCUGGUUGGGCCAGAUGACAUGAUGAACUUCAAGAAAAUCUACAGAGCUCUGGGAAAGGACGAGGAGGUUCCCAUGUUUCCCAUACAGAGCAAGUCUAUGGCUGCCAUCAAGGAGCGAGUCAACAUGGCCAGGAAGGUAGAGAAGAUUGAAUUCCACAACAGCAGAGAGAAGCAGCACAACUCUUGAUUUAAGCAAGCAGCAGAAGCUCUGGAGGUGGACCUGGAUGAUGAUGUUUUGCUUGUUAAAACUACAUUAAAUGAGUUAUCUAGGAGUGGGAGGUUGCCCCAUGAGAAACCUAGAAAUAAGAGGGACUUACAUAAAUAGAUCAGAGUAAACUGACAUUUAGUUUUUUUUUUAGGGGGGGG